UUCCUACGGGAGGCAGCAGUAGGGAAUCUUCCGCAAUGGGCGAAAGCCUGACGGAGCAACGCCGCGUGAGUGAUGAAGGUCUUCGGAUCGUAAAACUCUGUUAUUAGGGAAGAACAAAUGUGUAAGUAACUAUGCACGUCUUGACGGUACCUAAUCAGAAAGCCACGGCUAACUACGUGCCAGCAGCCGCGGUAAUACGUAGGUGGCAAGCGUUAUCCGGAAUUAUUGGGCGUAAAGCGCGCGUAGGCGGUUUCUUAAGUCUGAUGUGAAAGCCCACGGCUCAACCGUGGAGGGUCAUUGGAAACUGGGAAACUUGAGUGCAGAAGAGGAAAGUGGAAUUCCAUGUGUAGCGGUGAAAUGCGCAGAGAUAUGGAGGAACACCAGUGGCGAAGGCGACUUUCUGGUCUGUAACUGACGCUGAUGUGCGAAAGCGUGGGGAUCAAAUAGGAUUAGAUACCCUGGUAGUCCACGCCGUAAACGAUGAGUGCUAAGUGUUAGGGGGUUUCCGCCCCUUAGUGCUGCAGCUAACGCAUUAAGCACUCCGCCUGGGGAGUACGACCGCAAGGUUGAAACUCAAAUGAAUUGACGGAA
rnacentral:rRNA from 1 species